AGCGAACGCUGGCGGCAGGCCUAACACAUGCAAGUCGAGCGGCCGUAGCAAUACGGCAGCGGCAGACGGGAUAGUAACACGUGGGAACGCGCCCUUCGGUUCGGAAUAACUCAGGGAAACUUGAGCUAAUACCGGAUACGCCCUUACGGGGAAAGAUUUAUUGCCGAAGGAACGGCCCGCGUCCGAUUAGCUAGUUGGUGAGGUAAUGGCUCACCAAGGCAACGAUCGGUAGCUGGUCNGAGA
rnacentral:rRNA from 1 species